CAGUCGGACGGUAACGGGUAAGUACUUGUACUUAUGCUGACGAGUGGCGGACGGGUGAGUAAUGCUUGGGAAUCUGUCUUAUGGAGGGGGAUAACGACGGGAAACUGUCGCUAAUACCGCGUAGAGUCGGGAGACGAAAGUGCGGGACUUAAUGGCCGCAUGCCAUGAGAUGAGCCCAAGUGUGAUUAGGUAGUUGGUGGGGUAAAGGCCUACCAAGCCGACGAUCGCUAGCUGGUCUGAGAGGAUGGCCAGCCACACCGGGACUGAGACACGGCCCGGACUCCUACGGGAGGCAGCAGUGGGGAAUAUUGCGCAAUGGGGGCAACCCUGACGCAGCCAUGCCGCGUGAAUGAAGAAGGCCUUCGGGUUGUAAAGUUCUUUCGGUGGUGAGGAAGGGAUGUUGUUUAAUAGAUAACAUCAUUGACGUUAACUACAGAAGAAGCACCGGCUAACUCCGUGCCAGCAGCCGCGGUAAUACGGAGGGUGCGAGCGUUAAUCGGAAUAACUGGGCGUAAAGGGCACGCAGGCGGACCUUUAAGUGAGGUGUGAAAUCCCCGGGGCUUAACCUGGGAAUUGCAUUUCAUACUGGGGGUCUGGAGUACUUUAGGGAGGGGUAGAAUUCCACGUGUAGCGGUGAAAUGCGUAGAGAUGUGGAGGAAUACCGAAGGCGAAGGCAGCCCCUUGGGGAUGUACUGACGCUGAUGUGCGAAAGCGUGGGGAGCAAACAGGAUUAGAUACCCUGGUAGUCCACGCUGUAAACGGUGUCGAUUUGGGGAUUGGGGUUUAGCCUUGGUGCCCGAAGCUAACGUGAUAAAUCGACCGCCUGGGGAGUACGGCCGCAAGGUUAAAACUCAAAUGAAUUGACGGGGGCCCGCACAAGCGGUGGAGCAUGUGGUUUAAUUCGAUGCAACGCGAAGAACCUUACCUACUCUUGACAUCCAUGGAAUCCUGUAGAGAUACGGGAGUGCCUUUGGGAACCAUGAGACAGGUGCUGCAUGGCUGUCGUCAGCUCGUGUUGUGAAAUGUUGGGUUAAGUCCCGCAACGAGCGCAACCCUUAUCCUUUGUUGCCAGCGACUUGGUCGGGAACUCAAAGGAGACUGCCGGUGAUAAACCGGAGGAAGGUGGGGAUGACGUCAAGUCAUCAUGGCCCUUACGAGUAGGGCUACACACGUGCUACAAUGGCGUAUACAGAGGGUAACCAACCGGUGAUGGGGAGUGAAUCUCAAAAAGUACGUCUAAGUCGGAUG
rnacentral:rRNA from 1 species